CCAAUCUGAGCUUCCAGAGAAGCCACUCGCACACAACCAUCACAGAGGUAUGGACCCUGGACGGGUACAUCCAGGCAUCCAUACAUGCAACAAGAUGUGCAUUGAGUUAAACCAGCAAUCUUGCUAACACUCAUUUCCCCUUUAAACAGUAAAUAAAAACAAUUACCUUGAUAGUUUGAACCCCUUGUUUGUUUUCACUCCUGGUUUU